rnacentral:rRNA from 1 species
CCCGCUGACGAGCGGCGGACGGGUGAGUAACGCGUGAGAAUCUGCCCAUCAGUGGGGGAUAACCCGGGGAAACUCGGGCUAAUACCGCAUACGUCCUACGGGACAAAGCAGGGGACCUUUUGGCCUUGCGCUGAUGGAUGAGCUCGCGUCGGAUUAGCUUGUUGGUGAGGUAAAGGCUCACCAAGGCGACGAUCCGUAGCUGGUCUGAGAGGAUGAUCAGCCACACCGGGACUGAGACACGGCCCGGACUCCUACGGGAGGCAGCAGUGGGGAAUCUUGGACAAUGGGGGCAACCCUGAUCCAGCCAUGCCGCGUGUGUGAAGAAGGCCUUCGGGUUGUAAAGCACUUUCAGUAGGGAGGAAGGCUUCGGGUUAAUACCCUGGAGUACUUGACGUUACCUACAGAAGAAGCACCGGCUAAUUUCGUGCCAGCAGCCGCGGUAAUACGAAAGGUGCAAGCGUUAAUCGGAAUUACUGGGCGUAAAGCGCGCGUAGGCGGUGUGUUAAGUCGGAUGUGAAAGCCCAGGGCUCAACCUUGGAAUUGCAUCCGAUACUGGCACGCUAGAGUGCAGUAGAGGGAGGUGGAAUUUCCGGUGUAGCGGUGAAAUGCGUAGAGAUCGGAAGGAACACCAGUGGC